UAUUUACCGGGAUCGUACUUUCUCGAUUUUUGACAAAUUAUAAUUUCAGUAAUUUAUUGUUUAAUAAAUAAACGAUUAAUUUUAUUUUUUAUUAAAUGUGUUGAACCAUUUUACCUAACUUAACCUACCUACUUAAAUAAACCAUUCAUAGUAAAUUUGUGUUCUACUAUGUAAAAGUUAAAACUAAUUACCAACUUUUUAACUCGUUAAUAUCUAGCCUUGAAUAUUAUUAUUACCUAUUAGUAAACUACUUACCUACUUAUAUUUUAAUUUUUUUGAC